AUCUCAUUAGCUUUAAGGGAUAGCAUAAUUUUAGUUCGACUCUAAAAUGAGAAA
rnacentral:tRNA from 1 species